UACUUUUGAAGCUCUUAUGAAAUUAAUGUUGUGUGAUUUAAAAAAAGAAAGAAAGAAAUAAAAAAGUGAGAUAAAACUGCAAACGUCUAUGUGAGGUUGGGGGAAGAAGUGAAUAAAAGGGCAAACAAAGCUUUUCAAAAAGGUACAAUUUUAAGAUACAGUAUGAAUGAUUGUAAUUAUAAGUGUUCUUAAAGCUGCUUUAUGGCUAACAUGUUUCACAUCAUGUGACUUUAUUUUGAUUGUGUAACACUUGUCAGAAACCAAAAGAGGGCGAUAUCUCUCAGUAUUACACUUAACAGAGAAGUUUCUUUUAGGUUUUCACAAACUCCUCCUCAGAGUCUUUAUGAUAUUUAUGAAAGCAAAACUCUCAUUGACAGAUUUAUUUUGACUUCAGUGUGAAUUUAAAACAGAUCAUGAGGUGGAUCAGGAAUAUAUUUCUAUUUGCACUCUUCAGUCUUGAGUGCAGAUCAGAAGAGAAAGUUGAUCAGCCAGACAAACAUGUGACUGAAGCUGAAGGAAGAUCAGUGACAUUAGAUUGUUCAUAUACGACAGCUUCAACAGGGCCAUACCUUUUCUGGUACAUCCAGAGAGCGAAUGACUUUCCUAAAUACAUCCUGAGAAGAGACAAGUUUGGAACUGGAGAAAAUGGCACUGAGUUCCAGGAGAGAUUUCACUCUGAACUUUCAUCAAAUUCAGUUCCUCUGAAGAUCAAGGAUCUGCGUGUGUCUGACUCUGCUGUGUAUUACUGUGCUCUGAAGCCCACUGUGACAAAACUGAAGUCAAACCACAUACAAAAACACAAGCAUAAACAUAUAAUGUGACUGUGAUGAAAGCAUUUUUGACAUUUAA